GGGGAUUUAGCUCAGCGGUAGAGCACUUGCCUAGCAAGCACAAGGCCCUGGGUUCGAUCCCCAGCUCCA
rfam:Rattus norvegicus chromosome 9, whole genome shotgun sequence.